rnacentral:rRNA from 1 species
UGAGGAAUAUUGGACAAUGGGCGCAAGCCUGAUCCAGCCAUGCCGCGUGCAGGAAGAAGCAUCUAUGGUGUGUAAACUGCUUUUGUACGGGAAGAAACACUCCUUCGUGAAGGAGCUUGACGGUACCGUAAGAAUAAGGAUCGGCUAACUCCGUGCCAGCAGCCGCGGUAAUACGGUGGAUCCAAGCGUUAUCCGGAAUCAUUGGGUUUAAAGGGUCCGUAGGCGGUUUAAUAAGUCAGUGGUGAAAGCCCAUCGCUCAACGAUGGAACGGCCAUUGAUACUGCUAGACUUGAAUUACAAGGAAGUAACUAGAAUAUGUAGUGUAGCGGUGAAAUGCUUAGAUAUUACAUGGAAUACCAAUUGCGAAGGCAGGUUACUACUUGUGGAUUGACGCUGAUGGACGAAAGCGUGGGGAGCGAACA